rnacentral:rRNA from 1 species
AGUUUAAAGGAAAUAAUUUUAAAUGAAUCCUGCCCAGUGAAUAAUUUUAAAUGGCCGCAGUACCUUGACUGUGCUAAGGUAGCAUAAUCAAUUGGCUUUUAAUUAGAGUCUGGAAUGAAUGGAAGAAUGAAUUAAAGCUGUCUUAAAUUUAUUUUUAUAAAAUUAUUUAUAAGGUGAAAAUACCUUAAUUUUUAGAAAAAAGACGAGAAGACCCUUAGAGUUUUUAAUAUAAAAAUAAUUAAUAAUUUUAAUUUUUUUGUUGGGGCGACAAGUAAACAUUUUAAACUUUACGUUUUUAUAUUACGAUUUUAUUAAAAUAAAUAAAACUACCUUAGGGAUAACAGCAUUAUUUAUUAAUAAGAUUGUGACCUCGAUGUUGGACUAGGAACUUUAUGGCUAGCCGUCAAAAAAGAUUUGUUCUGUUCGAACAAUACUAUCCU